UCYGGUUGAUCCUGCCRGACCCGACUGCUAUCAGAGUGAGACUAAGCCAUGCGAGUUAACGUAUGAAUAAUACGUGGCACACGGCUCAGUAACACGUAGUCAACAUGCCCAGAGGACGUGGAUAACCUCGGGAAACUGAGGAUAAACCGCGAUAGGCCAUAAUUACUGGAAUGGGUUAUGGCUUAAACCUAUAUGGCCUCUGGAUUGGACUGCGGCCGAUCAGGCAGCUGGUGAGGUAAUGGCCCACCAAACCUGUUACCGGUACGGGCUCUGAGAGGAGGAGCCCGGAGAUGGGCACUGAGACAAGGGCCCAGGCCCUAUGGGGCGCAGCAGGCGCGAAACCUCUGCAAUAGGCGAAAGCCUGACAGGGUUACUCUGAGUGAUUCCCGCUAAGGGGAUCUUUUGGCACCUCUAAAAAUGGUGCAGAAUAAGGGGUGGGCAAGUCUGGUGUCAGCCGCCGCGGUAAUACCAGCACCCCGAGUGGUCGGGACGAUUAUUGGGCCUAAAGCAUCCGUAGCCGGUCAUGCAAGUCCUCCGUUAAAUCCACCUGCUCAACAGAUGGGCUGCGGAGGAUACUACAAGGCUAGGAGGCGGAAGAGGCAAGCGGUACUCAGUGGGUAGGGGUAAAAUCCUCUGAUCCAUUGAAGACCACCAGUGGCGAAGGCGGCUUGCCAAUACGCGCUCGACGGUGAGGGAUGAAAGCUGGGGGAGCAAACCGGAUUAGAUACCCGGGUAGUCCCAGCUGUAAACGAUGCAGACUCGGUGAUGGGCCGGCUUUAUGCCGGCUCAGUGCCGCAGGGAAGCCGUUAAGUCUGCCGCCUGGGGAGUACGGUCGCAAGACUGAAACUUAAAGGAAUUGGCGGGGGAGCACCACAGGGGGUGAAGCCUGCGGUUCAAUUGGABUCAACGCCGGRA
rnacentral:rRNA from 1 species